ACCCGCUGAAUUUAAGCAUAUAAGUAAGCGGAGGAUAAGAAACUAAAUAGGAUUCCCCUAGUAAUGGCGAAUGAACAGGGAACAGCUCAGCAUGAAAAUCGGGGCCUCUGGCCUUGAAUUGUAGUCUCGAGAGGUAUUGCCAAUGGAGGCGCAGAUGUAAGCUCUUGGAAAAGAGCACCGGCGAGGGUGAGAGUCCCGUUUGUCAUUUGCAGCCCUCUGUGUACGGUAUGCCUUCUAUGAGUCACGUUCCUCGGGAUUGGAGCGCAAAGUGGGUGGUAAAUUUCAUCUAAAGCUAAAUAUAGGUUCGAGACCGAUAGCAAACAAGUACCAUGAGGGAAAGGUGAAAAGGACUUUGAAAAGAGAGUUAAAAGUGCCUGAAAUCGCUGAAGGGGAAGCGAAUGGACCCAGUUUGUCUUGGCGGGAUUUGGCGCAUGCUAUGGUGAUGGCUUCUCACAUCAGCGCAAGCGUUGUGGGGGGUUCUGAGCCUGCCGCGUGUGUUGCUGCCUGCCUUGCGUGUCAACGUCGGUUCAAGGUUGGAGAAGACUCUGGGGAGGUGGUAAUUCGCCCGCGGGUGUUUGAACACUGCCCGGUAGAAUCCAGCUCUGGACUGAAGCUUGCGUUGGGAUGCUCGCUGCGUUCGUCGUUCGUGCCCGCUUGCUUGUCGCGCGUAGCUUCUGUUGCGCCGGCCGGUGAGUGUGGUGUGUGCGUCAGCGUAGUUAGCCCCAUCAAAGACGAUGACGAAAUGGUUUCAUCCGACCCGUCUUGAAACACGGACCAAGGAGUCUAACAUAUGUGCGAGUUCACGGGCGGUAAACCUGCUAGCGCAAUGAAAGUGACUGCUGGGAUAUUUGCACCAGCAACCGACUGAUCAACUGAGUGAGGUUUGAGUAUGAGCAUAUCUGUUAGGACCCGAAAGAUGGUGAACUAUGCUUGUGUAGGGUGAAGUCAGGGGAAACUCUGAUGGAGGCUCGUAGCGAUACUGACGUGCAAAUCGUUCGUCAAACAUGAGUAUAGGGGCGAAAGACUAAUCGAACCAUCUAGUAGCUGGUUCCCUCCGA
rnacentral:rRNA from 1 species